UACGUAGGAUGCAAGCGUUAUCCGGAUUUAUUGGGUUUAAAGGUGCGCAGGUUGUUUGUAUAAGUCAGUGGUGAAAGUACUGUCGCUUAACGGUAGGAUUGCCAUUGAUACUGUUGGACUUGAAUAUGGAUGAGGUAGGCGGAAUGUGUAGUGUAGCGGUGAAAUGCAUAGAUAUUACACAGAAUACCGAUUGCGAAGGCAGCUUACUAAUCCAUCAUUGACGCUGAGGCAUGAAAGACGUGGGGAGGCAAA
rnacentral:rRNA from 1 species